AGUGAACGCUGGCGGUAGGCCUAACACAUGCAAGUCGAACGGCAGCACAGUAAGAGCUUGCUCUUACGGGUGGCGAGUGGCGGACGGGUGAGGAAUACAUCGGAAUCUACUUUUUCGUGGGGGAUAACGUAGGGAAACUUACGCUAAUACCGCAUACGACCUACGGGUGAAAGCAGGGGAUCUUCGGACCUUGCGCGAUUGAAUGAGCCGAUGUCGGAUUAGCUAGUUGGCGGGGUAAAGGCCCACCAAGGCGACGAUCCGUAGCUGGUCUGAGAGGAUGGUCAGCCACACUGGAGCGGGGCCGGGGUCCAGAGGCCUACGGGAGGCAGCAGUGGGGAAUAGUGGACAGUGGGGGCGAGCCUGAUCCAGUCGUAGCGCGUGGGAGAAGAAGGCCUUCGGGUUGUAAAGCCGUUUUGUUGGGAGAGAAAAGCAGCAGGUUAAUACCCCGCUGUUCUGACGGUACCCAAAGAAUAAGCACCGGCUAACUUCGUG
rnacentral:rRNA from 1 species